UACGAAGGGGGCUAGCGUUGCUCGGAAUCACUGGGCGUAAAGCGCACGUAGGCGGCUUUCUAAGUCAGGGUGAAAUCCUGGAGCUCAACUCCAGAACUGCCUUUGAUACUGGAGAGCUCGAGUCCGGAAGAGGUGAGUGGAACUGCGAGUGUAGAGGUGAAAUUCGUAGAUAUUCGCAAGAACACCAGUGGCGAAGGCGGCUCACUGGUCCGGUACUGACGCUGAGGUGCGAAAGCGUGGGGAGCAAACAGG
rnacentral:rRNA from 1 species